rnacentral:misc_RNA from 1 species
GAUGAAGAACGCAGCGAAAUGCGAUAAGUAAUGUGAAUUGCAGAAUUCAGUGAAUCAUCGAAUCUUUGAACGCACAUUGCGCCCGCCAGUAUUCUGGCGAGCAUGCCUGUUCGAGCGUCAUUUCAACCAUCAAGCCCCAGGCUUGUGUUGGAGCCCUGCGGCUGCCGCAGCCUCCCAAAACCAGUGGCGGGCUCGCUAUCACACCGAGUGCAGUAGUUUACUCUUCGCUCAGGGCGUGUGGCGGGUGCUAGCCGUGAAACCCCCAACUUCUCAAGGUUGACCUCGGAUCAGGUAGGAAUACCCGCUGAACUUAAGCAUAUCAAUAAGCGGGAGGA